GAAGAAAGGAAAAAUGGAAGUGGAAGAGGAGGAGGAGCCAAGCCACAAUAUUUAGUCUUGUAUAAUUUCAUGGUAUGAUGGACGCAGCUGAGGUGGGCCUCCGCUGUGGCCAGGCAGUUCAGCCUUGCCGUCAACCCUCCAGGUGAUGAGUGAGUUGCCGGUUGAGCUGGAGUGUCCUGGUAUUGGGGGCUCGUCUGGUAUUGUAGACAACCAUCUGUGUAACCUUUUCGUGAAGAGGUCCGGUGUGACCCCUGGCAGGUUCGUGAUGGUGUCCGGCACAGCGUUGAAGAGGUCCGCAGAAAACAACACGCCGAUUUAUUUGAAGUCAAGGACGGAGAUUAA